GCACGUGUGGCGGAAUGGUAGACGCGGCAGACUCAAAAUCUGCUGGAGGCAACUUCGUGGGGGUUCAAGUCCCUUCACGUGCACCA
rnacentral:tRNA from 2 species